UGUCCGAAAAUUGUUCUGGACCCGACCCGAGCAGUCAUGACCGUUGUGUCCGGAUCAUCCCCAAACAUCUACAAAACGUCACCGUUUUAUUAUUUGGACUCCCUAGCCUAUUCUUUCUGAACCGUCCGAUUUCGAUCGGAUGAUCCAAACUCCCUCUUUUCCUUAUAUUUAUAGCCCAAACUCACCUAAUCUAGCCUAACCCUAAAACAUAGGAGGUUUGUCCCUCCCUGCCGUCGCCGCUCCAAAAAUCUUCCUCGGGAUCCCCUCACUCUUUCCCGAGCCAACCCAGCGCCGCCAGCUACCUCCAUCAAUUCCCUUGUAGUCAGCCUCCUCCCGCUCAAUCCGGGGCGUCCCCGCGCUGACAAACCCCCUCUUCCUCGCCUCGUCGCCGGCGAGCCUCACCACCAUCGAUGGCCGAAGCCCCAGAAAACUCAUCGCCGGUCUUCCCUGCCUCGUCCAAGUGGGGUUUCGGCGCCUCGCCGCCCGGAUCCAACCAUCUCUACGUCAUCCGCGCCGCCAACCCUGCCACGCUCGCGCCCGGGUCCAGCCGCUGCUGCCCUCCCGACCUUCGUCUGUUCCGUGAUCCUGCUGAAGCCGCGCCAAGUUCUAUCGCUGCUCUGUAUCGCUGCGUGCAGCUGAUCUAGUGGCUCCCCAGCGCCUCGUUCGUCCCUGCCAGCGCCCGCGUGUGCGCAAGGGCCGCAAGUUUAGGGGCGCCCAACUCCUUCCGCUUACCCAGCCAGCCAAGGGCCAGAAUCGCCAUGGCCGUCGGCCUCUGUUUUCCCGCUGCGAGCAACUUCCUCCAUAACUGAAGCUUUGUUCUGUUCCUAGAUCCGUUCUGGUGUAUAGGUUAUUUCAGAGUUGUCACUAUGUUCCACCACAAGCAGAUCGGCUAGCUUACUGGUUGUUCCCUCGAAGACACAUCAAGAGGUCCUGUGUUCAAGUCCCAGGCUGCCCUGUUUCCUUUAUUUAUUUUUUUGCCAAACAGUCACUCAACCACUUGGGCCAAAUCCUCUUGGGCUGCUG